rnacentral:rRNA from 1 species
UUGAACGCUGGCGGCAUGCCUUACACAUGCAAGUCGAACGGUAACAGGUCUUCGGAUGCUGACGAGUGGCGAACGGGUGAGUAAUACAUCGGAACGUACCCAGUUGUGGGGGAUAGCCCGGCGAAAGCCGGAUUAAUACCGCAUAAGUCCUGAGGGAGAAAGCGGGGGACCGUAAGGCCUCGCGCGAUUGGAGCGGCCGAUGUUCGAUUAGCUAGUUGGUGGGGUAAAGGCCUACCAAGGCGACGAUCGAUAGCUGGUCUGAGAGGACGACCAGCCACUCUGGAACUGAGACACGGUCCAGACUCCUACGGGAGGCAGCAGUGGGGAAUUUUGGACAAUGGGCGCAAGCCUGAUCCAGCCAUGCCGCGUGAGUGAAGAAGGCCUUCGGGUUGUAAAGCUCUUUCAGACGGAAAGAAAUCGGGCGCGUGAAUAGCGUGCCUGGAUGACGGUACUGUCAGAAGAAGCACCGGCUAACUACGU